rnacentral:lncRNA from 1 species
CUGGAAUCAACUAGCAUGUGAUUUUGAUUCACUAAGUGUGAUUUUUGUAUGCCGUUAGUUAUUUGUUUUGUAUGGCCGGGAAGUUGACAGAACAGAAUGUGUUGGACAAAUUUGAACAAGUAAUUGUGAAUGCAGUUGGUACAGAUCUCGUCAAGUUGUCAAGUAUGGUUUGCUCUUUCUUAUUUAUAUUGUUAGGCAUCUCAGUUUCCUUACUGUAAUGCUCUAUUCUCCUCCAUUUGCUCAACUGGUUACUAACUCUUCUGAAUUGAAGCAGCAAAAGCUUGAGUGGAUUUGACCAGGGACCUUCACAAGCAUGCUUGCGAACAUACUUACUUUACCCAUUCCAGGAGAGGUGACUAGUGGCGACUACGAUCCUUUUUAAGAUCCAAUGUUGCUAGUUCUCAAACAAUGGAUGGUUCAUUCACUUGCUUCACUCUGAUUUUCAAUUUAUCUGGUGAUGGCAGAAUUAAGUGUCUGUGACACUUAAAUUCCUUAUUAUUUUGUGAUGUUUCAAUAUUGCUUUCUAAUACUUGCUAUUCAGCCAUCCCUGCUGAGUCAUGUAUGUAUGUAUGCAGAAAUGGAGAUAUCAUGCACUGGAGAUAGAUAUGCUUGCAUGUAUGUAUGUAUAAAG